rnacentral:lncRNA from 1 species
UUUUUUUUUUUGAAAAAUCUAAAGUGCUUGAUAAAUGUUAAAAAUAGAAGUAAAAUAUAAAUGAUUUGGAGGGGCAGUAACCACCCCCUGUGGAGUGGCGCUCACUGGGUGCUGGGCUGGGAGCACGGUGGCUUACGCGAGGUGGGGCAGAGCACUGUCCCGUGCCCCGGUUUGGUUUUACUUUGCUGUGUACAUAGUGUAUGUAAAGGACACACGAGUCGUACUCUACUUCUAGUUUUCUAGAUGCUAAAAAGAUUGCAAGUAUAUGACAAAAGUGGGAUUCGUAAACAUUCUGUACGUUUUGUGUUAAAAUUCCUAAGCAUCAGGUGCAGUGACCUGUAAUCCCAGUGGCUGGGAGGCUGAGACAGGAGGAUCUGAGUUCAAAGCCAGCCUCAGGGGGGAAAGAAAGCAACUCAGGAGACCUGUCUCUAAAUAAAAUACGAAAUAGGGCUGGGGUGCGGCUCAGUGAGCGAUGGCCUCUCGGUUGUUGAAUCCCCGGUACCAAAAAGAAGGAAGUCUAGGAAGGGCUGGAGUGCGUAGCCCUGGUGGUGGAGGGCCGGAGGGCUCACAUUCUGAAGACCUUUUCACAUUAGAACUACUGUUACACGUGUGCCCUUUACUCAAGACGACUGUCAUUACGUAGUGGACAAACGGCGUCCUCACCUGAAACACCUCGUCUGUCUGGGCGUUUAGAAGUGUUUUGUGGGUGCGUUUUCCUCCUCGUGACCGUAUGUAUAGUUGACGAUGCUAAGGACUUUAAAAAAAAAAAAUCUAGACUUUCUAGCUGUUCCAAAGCGCCUGAUAAAUGUUAAAAGUAGAAGUAAGAUAUAACCCAUUUUGUAAACUCGGUGUACGUUAGGUGUGGAGGUGGUGGAAUAGC